GCCCAGUUUCUGAUCACCACAGGUUGGAUGUGUGCACUUGCAUCUGCUUGGGUGUAGUCUUACCUGUGUACAGUGUGGAAAUAGCUCACCUGUGUCUCACCUGGCCAGUUUAUCAUGAAGGGCAGGUGCUGAAACUACAAAAUGUGGUUGGCCAGGAAAGCAAACCUGUGCCAUUAGUGAGUGCUUUCCCCACUGAAUGCCCGGCUUGUUAGUCCUGCUCUGCCUCAGCACCAGGGAGUGUUUGCUGCAUGGGUGUGUGAGUGAGGGCUUGUGGGGCUGCGUUGUUGUCCUGACAAGGCAUGCCAGUUACUGUUAAUCUGCUGUCCUGUUGCCAUCACUCCUAUAUUUGGUCAAACAGCUGUGCUUUUAGCCAACAUAUCCCAGCACAGGACCUGGGAUCACUGCUGGAGUGAAGGGACUUAGGAGGAAGGAGGGCAGGGACUAGUUUCCUUACUCAGCACUGUUAUCUCAGUGAAGUGAAAAUGUUUUACCAUUUUUUUUAUUUUGUGUACUUUUGGAUAUUAUGAAAAGAAAUGCUGGUAUAAGGAUGAUGGCCAAAAUGAGUUCCUCAAUAAAGAUUAGUUAGCAUAACACUGGCAACUUUUUUUUUUUUUUUUUUUUUUUUUUUUUUUUUUUUUUUUUUUUUUUUUUUUAGAGACAAAGCAUAUUACAUCUUGCAUAUUUCACUUGACUUGUAGUCAAACAAGGGUUGGUAGACCUUUCCCCCCUCAUAAAAUUGUAAAUAGAUUUAUGUUGCAGAA